rnacentral:lncRNA from 1 species
AAGUCCAACCAGGACACUACACAACGCAAACGCACAAAGCCCGACUCGGGAGUGACACUCGUGGGCGCUACCCAACCGAGUAUGCAAGCGUAUCUCUACUGAGCUCAAUCAGAUUCUCACAGGCUAUAAUCAAGUAAAUAUGGUCCAACUGGUCUAACAACCAAAACUCACGUGCUCUCGGCACAAUCUGAUAAAAAACACGCAAUCUGGGUCCACCGUCUACCCCGACGGCACCCGACAGUCCGAAACAGCCUAGACACUACUGUAAAAAUAAGCUCGGCAUCUCUGCACGAGCGUAACUGCAUUCUACACUAUCCCGGGUAUCUUCCGCCAACAAACUGCGGUGAUACAUAUCUACUACAGCUCCUAAACUUCAUCAUAUCAAAUGCACACAACAGUGUGGAUACUAUCCGCGACAGCUCCUGAAGCUAUCUGAUUAUCAAAUGCGCACUAACAGCUAGGAUACGAAGCACAACAACUUCAGAAGCUAUCUGAGUAUCAAAUGCGCACUAA